rnacentral:rRNA from 1 species
GAGAGGAUGAUCAGUCACACUGGAACUGAGACACGGUCCAGACUCCUACGGGAGGCAGCAGUGGGGAAUAUUGGACAAUGGGCGAAAGCCUGAUCCAGCCAUGCCGCGUGUGUGAAGAAGGUCUUCGGAUUGUAAAGCACUUUAAGUUGGGAGGAAGGGCUGGUAGGCUAAUAUCCUGCGGUUUUGACGUUACCAACAGAAUAAGCACCGGCUAACUUCGUGCCAGCAGCCGCGGUAAUACGAAGGGUGCAAGCGUUAAUCGGAAUUACUGGGCGUAAAGCGCGCGUAGGUGGUUCGUUAAGUUGGAUGUGAAAGCCCCGGGCUCAACCUGGGAACUGCAUCCAAAACUGGCGAGCUAGAGUACGGUAGAGGGUAGUGGAAUUCCUGUGUAGCGGUGAAAUGCGUAGAUAUAGGA